AAGCUUUUGGCAGUCCUGGCAUUGGUAGCAGCAAAGUAACUGUGGCACUCCUCAGACACGUGCCUUGCCAGUGUAUUAGAGAGGAACUACACAAGGAGAAGGAUUUGCUCAAAGUAAUGGACUCAAAGCCAGAGGUAACCUGUGCUUCACUCCAGCUCAGAAGGGGAUGAAUCAGGAGCAGGAGGCUGUGUGUAGAACUACAGCAGGCAGCUGACCAGCACUGUGGGGUUUUGACUCCUGAG
rnacentral:lncRNA from 1 species